ensembl:lincRNA uncharacterized LOC106147818
ACCAGCUGUUUCUAAGAAACAAAAGUAACAGGAACUGUUACCUGGGCAACUAACAAACUGAAGUAUCCUGGGUGGGGGGUCAUUUUCUGCUACAAGUAGAGAUGUGUUCAUUCCGUGCCCUUCAUCCAUCAGUCACUUGCUGAGCGUUGUCUUUCAUCGAACGAUAUUCUGGGCACUGGAUGAGCUAAAUGAAAAGGACAGAAUACCUGGCGUGGCAGGAGUCAGAGUUGAUGCAGCUCAGCAAGCUUCCUGGUUUCCAGUCCCUCCAUCGGGACUUGGACUUCCCCUGAUGUCGGGCCACUAAGAGCUCUCUGCCUCAGCACAGCCCUGGAACCUCCGCGGGUGAACUGCACAAUGGUAAUGUGGAGCUCAACAUUUGGCUGUAAAGGCCUGGACUAGACAUUUCCUUCUGAGCAAGACCAUGGUCGCAGGCAAGAAGCAAAGAGCAGAACAGAGGGUUCUUAUAGACCCAGGGCUGCUCGUGGCUGACCCAUAACACUCUCAGUGGAAAAUAUGUGACACCCUUCACAACCAAAAUAAAAAUAUUCUACUUUUUUUUGUUGUUUGGUUUUUUCUGG